AUUGAACGCUGGCGGCAGGCCUAACACAUGCAAGUCGAGCGAGCGGCGGACGGGUGAGUAAUGUAUGGGGACUGCCCGAUAGAGGGGGAUAACUACUGGCACCGGUGGCUACUACCGCAUACUAUCGGAUAACCCAUAUGGGAUUAGCUAGUAGGUGGGGUAACGGCUCACCUAGGCGACGAUCUCUAGCUGGUCUGAGAGGGUGAUCACACACAUGGGGACUGAGACAAGGCCCAGACUCCGACGGAGGCAGCAGUGGGGAAUAUUGCACAAUGGGAGAAAGCAUGAUGCAGCCAUGCCGCGUGUAUGAAGAAGGCCUUAGGGUUGUAAAGUACUUUCAGCGGGGAGGCGUUACCCGCAGAAGAAGCACCGGCUAACUCCGUGCCAGCAGCCGCGGUAAUUC
rnacentral:rRNA from 1 species